GACGAACGCUGGCGGCGUGCUUAACACAUGCAAGUCGAGCGGUAAGGCCCUUUCGGGGGUACACGAGCGGCGAACGGGUGAGUAACACGUGGGUGACCUGCCCUCAGCUCUGGGAUAAGCCUGGGAAACCGGGUCUAAUACUGGAUAUGACUCCAUGACGCAUGUUGUGGGGUGGAAAGCCUUGUGCGGCUGAGGAUGGGCCCGCGGCCUAUCAGCUUGUUGGUGGGGUGAUGGCCUACCAAGGCUUCGAUCUGUAGCCGGCCUGAGAGGGCGGUCGGCCACACUGACACUUAAAUACGGGUCAGACUCCUACGGGAGGCAGCAGUCGGGAAUUUUGGGCAAUGGGCGCAAGCCUGACCCAGCAACGCCGCGUGAAGGAUGAAAUCCCUCGGGAUGUAAACUUCGUAAGAACAGGAAGAAUAAGUGGGGGACAA
rnacentral:rRNA from 1 species